UGGGGAAUUUUGGACAAUGGGGGAAACCCUGAUCCAGCCAUCCCGCGUGUGCGAUGAAGGCCUUCGGGUUGUAAAGCACUUUUGGCAGGAAAGAAACGUCAUGGGUUAAUACCCCGUGAAACUGACGGUACCUGCAGAAUAAGCACCGGCUAACUACGUGCCAGCAGCCGCGGUAAUACGUAGGGUGCAAGCGUUAAUCGGAAUUACUGGGCGUAAAGCGUGCGCAGGCGGUUCGGAAAGAAAGAUGUGAAAUCCCAGAGCUCAACUUUGGAACUGCAUUUUUAACUACCGGGCUAGAGUGUGUCAGAGGGAGGUGGAAUUCCGCGUGUAGCAGUGAAAUGCGUAGAUACGCGGAGGAACACCGAUGGUGAAGGCAGCCUCCUGGGAUAACACUGACGCUCAUGCACGAAAGCGUGGGGAGCAAACAGG
rnacentral:rRNA from 1 species